rnacentral:rRNA from 1 species
UUCGGCCGAUCGCCCUUGAGUUUGAUCAUGGCUCAGAACGAACGCUGGCGGCAGGCCUAAUACAUGCAAGUCGAGCGCAUCCUUCGGGAUGAGCGGCGGACGGGUGAGUAACGCGUGGGAAUAUACCCUUCUCUAAGGAAUAGCCUCGGGAAACUGAGAGUAAUACCUUAUACGCCCUUCGGGGGAAAGAUUUAUCGGAGAAGGAUUAGCCCGCGUUAGAUUAGGUAGUUGGUGGGGUAAUGGCCUACCAAGCCUACGAUCUAUAGCUGGUUUGAGAGGAUGAUCAGCCACACUGGGACUGAGACACGGCCCAGACUCCUACGGGAGGCAGCAGUAGGGAAUCUUAGACAAUGGGGGAAACCCUGAUCUAGCCAUGCCGCGUGUGUGAUGAAGGCCUUAGGGUCGUAAAGCACUUUCGCCAGAGAUGAUAAUGACAGUAUCUGGUAAAGAAACCCCGGCUAACUCCGUGCCAGCAGCCGCGGUAAUACGGAGGGGGUUAGCGUUGUUCGGAAUUACUGGGCGUAAAGCGCACGUAGGCGGAUUAGUAAGUUAGAGGUGAAAUCCCAGGGCUCAACCCUGGAACUGCCUUUAAUACUGCUAGUCUUGAGUUCGAGAGAGGUAAGUGGAAUUCCGAGUGUAGAGGUGAAAUUCGUAGAUAUUCGGAGGAACACCAGUGGCGAAGGCGGCUUACUGGCUCGAUACUGACGCUGAGGUGCGAAAGUGUGGGGAGCAAACAGGAUUAGAUACCCUGGUAGUCCACACCGUAAACGAUGAAUGCCAGACGUCAGCAAGUAUACUUGUUGGUGUCACACCUAACGGAUUAAGCAUUCCGCCUGGGGAGUACGGUCGCAAGAUUAAAACUCAAAGGAAUUGACGGGGGCCCGCACAAGCGGUGGAGCAUGUGGUUUAAUUCGACGCAACGCGCAGAACCUUACCAACCCUUGACAUCCUGUGCUACUACCAGAGAUGGUACGUUCCCUUCGGGGACGCAGUGACAGGUGCUGCAUGACUGUCGUCAGCUCGUGUCGUGAGAUGUUCGGUUAAGUCCGGCAACGAGCGCAACCCACAUCUUUAGUUGCCAUCAGGUUAUGCUGGGCACUCUAGAGAAACUGCCCGUGAUAAGCGGGAGGAAGGUGUGGAUGACGUCAAGUCCUCAUGGCCCUUACGGGUUGGGCUACACACGUGCUACAAUGGCAGUGACAAUGGGUUAAUCCCAAAAAACUGUCUCCAGUUCCGGAUUGGGGUCUGCAACUCGACCCCAUGAAGUCGGA